UGGAGAGUACUGGAGACUGUUUUUGUUAUCUAGUCACAGAGCAGGCAUGGAAUGAAAACCAACAGUGCAAGAUUUCCCCACAUUUCUCUGCCUUUGUACCUCAACCCUGCUCAAAGGGGCCAUCAAUACAGAUAAGACGGAGGUUCAGUGUUCAGGGUUCCUUUCAGUGUUAGAACUGCU
rnacentral:sRNA from 1 species